rnacentral:miRNA from 1 species
UCUGAAGCUUGCUUACCUCCA